rnacentral:rRNA from 1 species
AUCUCAAAUCAGGGUAGGACUACCCGCUGAACUUAAGCAUAUCAAUAAGCGGAGGAA